GAAGCAGCGGAAAAUACUUCACCGCCGCUUUCCGAUUCCAAAGGUCACAGGUUCGAAUCCUGUCGGGUGCGCCA
rnacentral:tRNA from 1 species